CGUGGGCACCCAUAGAACCCAUUUUCAUUCACAUAUCUGGAGGUCAGAGGUCAAGGGACCCCUUUGAAAAUGGCCAUGAGUUUUUCCUCGCCAAAAUUUAUUGAGUAAUAAGAUUGGAGCGUUAUCUAACCUCCUUUUUGACAAGCUAGCUCUGACA